UACGUAGGGUGCAAGCGUUAAUCGGAAUUACUGGGCGUAAAGCGUGCGCAGGCGGUGAUGUAAGACAGAUGUGAAAUCCCCGGGCUUAACCCGGGAACUGCGUCCGAUACUGGUGGGCUUGAAUCCGGGAGAGGGAUGCAGAAUUCCAGGUGUAGCGGUGAAAUGCGUAGAUAUCUGGAGGAAUACCGGUGGCGAAGGCGGCAUCCUGGACCGACAUUGACGCUGAGGAGCGAAAGCUAGGGGAGCAAACGGG
rnacentral:rRNA from 1 species